UACAGAGGGUGCGAGCGUUAAUCGGAAUUACUGGGCGUAAAGCGUGCGUAGACGGUAGCGUAAGUCAGAUGUGAAAGCCCCGGGCUCAACCUGGGAAUUGCAUUUGAGACUGCUCUGCUCGGGUGCGGAAGAGGGAAGCGGAAUUUCCGGUGUAGCGGUGAAAUUCGUAGAUAUUGGGAAGAACACCGGUGGCGAAGGCGGCGACCUGGUCCGAGACUGACGCUGAGGCGCGAAAGCGUGGGGAGCAAACAGG
rnacentral:rRNA from 1 species